AAGUCGUAACAAGGUCUCCGUAGGUGAACCUGCGGAGGGAUCAUUGAAGAGUUAGGGCCUCUGGCCCGACCUCCAACCCUUUGUACUUAUUACCAUGUUGCCUCGGGGGCGACCCUGCCGUCCGCGGUUUGGGGCCCCCGGUGGACCACUUAACUCUGCAUCUCUGCGUCUGAGUAACUUUGUAAAUCAAACAAAACUUUCAACAACGGAUCUCUUGGUUCUG
rnacentral:misc_RNA from 1 species